CCUACGGGUGGCAGCAGUGGGGAAUAUUGCACAAUGGGGGAAACCCUGAUGCAGCGACGCCGCGUGAGUGAAGAAGGGUUUCGGCGCGUAAAGCUCUGUCAGCGGGGAAGAAACACGGGACGCGAGAGCCGCGGACGGUACCCGACCAAGAAGCCCAGGCAAACUACGUGCCAGCAGCCGCGGUAAUACGUAGGGGGCAAGCGUUAUCCGGAUCCACUGGGUGGAAAGGGAGCGUAGACGGCGAGACAAGUCUGGAGUGAAAGGCCGGGGCCCAACCCCGGGACUGCUCUGGAAACUGCCUGGCUGGAGUACAGGAGCGUUAAGUGGAUUUCCUAGUGUAGCGGUGACAUGCGUAGUUCUUAGGAGGAACACCAGUGGCGAAGGCGGCUUACUGGACUGUAACUGACGUUGAGGCUCGAAAGCGUGGGGAGCAAACAGGAUUAGAUACCCCAGUAGUC
rnacentral:rRNA from 1 species